rnacentral:lncRNA from 1 species
AAGACCACAGGGAAAUAGAAGGACUGAGAAAUGGCCGCUGGAUUUGGCAAGUCUUCAUGGUUGGCUUUAGCAAGGAUAUUUCCAGGGCAGAGUAUGGGGGUGAAGGUGGGGAAGAAGUAAGGCAGGUCCCUGGGAGUGAAUGUGAAGUGAAGAAUUAAAAGUUUUAAGGAUCCAUGGCCCUUUAUGGGAGAUAAGACAGGAAAAUUGAGGAAGAGAGAAAGGAAGAGCUGGAAAGUAGUUGAUGGGCCCAAACCAAAGGAGAGUUUCUGAUUUUCCUAAUGGGAGAAACCUAAACCUGGUUCUUUAAAAAAAAAAAAAAAAAAGCAUGUUUUUAGACUAAAGAUCUUGGAGAAAUUAGAUAUGAUGAAUGGAGCACGCUCCUUGAAGAGAUGGAGAACAAUGGGCUAAAAACCAUAAGUGGGGUGACUAGCUUGAAAUGGGGGCUUCAUUGUGAAGGAUGGAGACAAAAUCAGGAUAAAGCACAGAUGAGCUGGGUCAUUGGAAGGAGGGUGGUUCGUCCCCAGUGACUUCAAACUCCCUCUCACGCCCAAGACAGAAUUGCUGCCAGGAAAGCAAGCAUUUGGGGUCAGGCCACCUCGAGGAUUCGGUGCGUGGGCUCAGCCUGGAUUUCCAAUUAGGUCGAAGCCAUGGCAUGUCAGGCCCCAUCACAGGGACUUCCCAGGUGAUGAUGAUGUCUUCAUACCUGGAAUCUGUCAUGGCUCUGAGUCGGCAAUCUGGGAGGCUAAUCAUCAUGGCAGGAUUUCUGAUACUGCCCCUGACUUAAUAAGACAUUGUGGGGGUGUUUUUGUUGUUGUUUGUUUUUACUUUUGUUUGCUUGAUCUCACGUUUACUAUUGUCUCACUAAAACAAACAAACAAACAAAAAACUUAUAAAAGGAUAAAGUAUUAAAAGCGUAUGUAAAAGGCCUUGGAGGAUUGCGCAGGUUAUACAGUCUGUACUGAACCCCUAAGUUAUCCAGAUCGUUUCAAGCAUUUUUUGACCUGUCUGGAGGUAUCUUACUUUUAGAAAACCAAUUCCAGAAUGUUUCAUAAGAGUCAGCUGAUUCCUCUGCAAUCAGUCUUCCACUUGAUUUAUUGCUUGAUAAGAAAAUAUCCUAAUUAGGUUAACUUUAGUGCUGGCAUAUGGUUAUUGGAAUAUCGACAUUUUAACACCAAUUAGGCUACACUCUUAAUCGCAUUUUCUUGAUAGUCUCCUUUAUCACUUUAUUGAAUUAUGAGAAUAAUCUUAUCUUUCUUUCCUACUUAUAUCUUAACAAUAUUUUUUCUUCUAAAGGGAAUUAAAGAAAAAAAAUUCACGUAGCACUAACACCUGCUAUAAAAACCAUAAUACAUACAAGAGCGUACACGUGUGUUAACCCAGACUCGAGGUAUUUUGUUAGCUGCGUGUUCAGAGUUUGUUGCUUUGGUGUCAGACCAUUUUCUGAGGUUUCCAAAUAUAGGUAGGAAUAGACACAUGCAUUUUGAUAGCUGCCAAUCUCAGCCUCUUCCGAGUACUAUUUGGAGCACAUGCCGUAUCCUACAUCUUUCAGUCCUACUAUAGGAAUACUGAAUUUUAUACAUUUUAAUAACCAUGCUGAGGAGUAUUUGAUUCAUUUCCAGUCUCCCUGUCCCCUUCUCUUCCACAGAAAACCAGCUGGCUAUCUUACCCCUCAUUCUCACUACCCUCACCCAUAACACUUCUUUGUGGACAUGUUUUAUAGAGUUCUGAAAGUCACAAAUUCAAAAGUUUGCCCUUUCGGGGGCCACAAUAAGGAAUUUCGGGAAGCAAGAGGGAGAUGGCGGGUAUGUUUAUUUCACUCCAAGGAGAAACUGGAUAAAAUGCGCAUGUUAAUAAAAGUCUUCUGCAAUCAAAUUUCGGAAUACGGAGAAAAGGAGAUGAAAAAUCAGCCUCUAUAAAAUAUCUUUGUGUUUGACUAUGGGGAUGAAGCCUUCAGGAAAAGGAAGGUUGAAACGGUCUGGAGUUCUGAGAGCAAGAAUAUUGAUAAUAGAAUGUGGACAUUUUGCUUGAUGUCUCCUGGUAACAAGGUUGUCAGAUUUAGCAAAGAGAAAUACAGGCUGCUCAGGCAAAUUUGAAUCCCAGAUGACCACAGUGAAUGAUUCAUAGGAUAAGUGUGUCCCUGAUAUUUCAUGAGUACCUUACAUUCCACCUACUAACAUUCCCUGGGGGAGGGUCAGAAUGUGGCAGGUAACAGGGAACCAGGGAGAAGCCAGGUCCUGAAAGUCUGGGUGAAUGGGCAGUUCCAAACCAGAGAGCAGAAGGUGUCCUGAGGGAGGCUAUCAUUGGACAGGAAGUGACAGGAACGUAAGGGAAGGUACUCAGGAGGACGGAAUGGGAUCAAGGACAGGAAUGUUUCUGCCACCAGCCAUUCUCACCCUUUUCCUAUUCUUUUGCUGUCUAACGGCAAGGCCACCCGCGCAUGUGUGGCUUUGGAAAUAGGCUUAGGUUUUAACCCUGCCAGUGCCACUUCCUAUAAAUUGAUGGUCUUUAUAAAUGACUUCCUAUAAAUUGAUGGUCAUCAAUAUCUCUGAGUCACAUUUGUCCCAGCUCGUAAAAUGAAAAGAUUACCGUGAAGACCAAAUGACUUCUUGAAGCACCUUGAAUCAGAGUCUUGGCCACACCAAAUAGACUGCCACUUGUUUUGAUCUCACAAUUACGACGACUGCCUUUCUUAAAACUCAAACAGAAUAUUUCAUACAUUUCUCUGGAUAAUACCUCACUCUAUUUUAUUGCUGGCUCAACUUCCUUUAAUCGAAAUUGAUUGUGAAGAUAGUCUUCAAUAUUUACAUUGACAGAUGAGUCUAGCAGCUUAAGAUGUGGGCUCUCUAGCUAUAUUGCUUGGAUCCCAAGCUGCUUCAAAUAUGUCUUUUCAGGCAAAGGAAACAAAAGCAAAAAUAAGCUAUUGGGACUACACAAAAAUAAAAAGCUUUUGCCCAGCUAAGGAAACCAUCCACAAAUCAAAAGGCAACCUACUGAAUAGGAGAACAUAUAUAAAUGAUAUAUCCAUUAAGGGGCUAGUGUCCAAAAUAUCUAAAUAUCUACACAACCAAACAACAAGGAAAAAAAAUACCCAAAUAAUCCAAUUAAAGGUGGACAGAAGACCCGAAUAGACAUUUUCCAAAGAGACAUACAAGUGGCCAGCACACAGAUGAAAAGGUGCUCAACUUCACUAAUCAUCGGGGGAAUGCAAAUCAAAACCACAAUGAGAUACCAUCUGACACCUGUCAAAUGGCUGGAACCAAAAAGACGAGAAAUAGUGUUGGCAACAAUAUGGAGAAGGGAAGCAUCGUGCGCUGUCGGGGGCGGGGGGGACCUAAAUUGGUACAGUCGUUGUGGAAAACAGUAUGGAGGUUCCUCAUAAUUUUUUUUAAAUAAAAAUAAAACUACCAUAUUAUCCAAUAAUUUUUCCACUGGGUAUUUACCCAAGGAGUGUGAAAAGACUGAUUUGAGAAGAUACAUGCACCCCUGUGUUUAUUGCAGCAUUAUUUACAACAGCCACGUUCUGGAAGUUAGGAUUUUUUAAUUCCCAUAUGACAAAUACAUUUAAUCUCUUGCCUAAAAUCACAGAGUUUAAGUAGCUGGGUUGGGAUCUGGACCCAAGCACUCUGUUUCAGUGGCACACCCAGAGUGCUUAGCAUCAAUGUAGAUCACUUUUUUAAUAUCUUGUUCCCUGUCUGACAACAUUAUUUUAAUAAGGUUCAUGUCAUAAUCAAUAACAAUCCUUUUCUUGAUUCACUCUAAUUUUAAGACAACUGAAUUUCUGGAAAGAACGGUAAAUUAGAGCUUUUUAAAAACUCAGUAGUUAAUCUGUGAAACAAAACAUGCACUUGCCAAACAAAAACAUGACACCUGUAUUUCUCCAUUUCACAGUUUAUAAAGUUUUCAAGCCCAGUGAUCACAUAAAAUGACAAUUCCAAUGACUCAAGUUUGGUUUCCUUAUUCUUAUCAUUUUUGUGUUAUUAUUAUUUAUUUGAAUUUCCAUGUAAACUAAGGAAUAUGUAUCACCAGUGGGUAAAGCCACCAGAUGUGUCCUAGGAAAGUCUGAACAAUUACGCCUCCUUGGGAAUUCAUUUUUAAAAGGUACGGGUAUGGCUGAGUCUACAUGGGACAGAGGUCAAUCGUACAAUCAGGAAUUCUCAGAAUUGAUUUCUCUAUGGGAACACUCUGUCAUCAAAAGCGAUAUAACAAAUGUGUUAAUUUGGAGCUUACGUAUGAUUGUGAAAACUUGGUAGUGACUUGGUAGCAAUUAUUUGGAACUCAGUCGAACAAAGGAUGUUUUCAGGGAGCACCUGGGUGGCUCAGUCAGUUGAGGGUCCGACUCUUGAUUUGGCUCAGGUCAUGAUCUCAGGGCCUCAUCUGAGGUGGAGCCUUGCUCUGGGCUCCGUGCUCAGCAGGGAGUCUGUUGGGAUUCUCUCCCAAACGAUGUUUAGAUGUUCUCAAGG